rnacentral:rRNA from 1 species
CCCUCCGCCUCUAGUUGCCAGCAUUCGGUUGGGCACUCUAGAGGGACUGCCGGAGACAAUUCGGAGGAAGGUGGGGAUGACGUCAAAUCCUCAUGGCCCUUAUGACCUGGGCUACACACGCGCUACAAUGGCCUGUACAGAGGGAAGCGAAAGAGCGAUCUGGAGCGAAUCUCACAAAACAGGUCUCAGUUCGGAUUGCAGGCUGAAACCCGCCUGCAUGAAGCCGGAAUUGCUAGUAAUCGCAGAUCAGCUACGCUGCCGGUGAACUACGUUCUCGGGCCUU